rnacentral:rRNA from 1 species
GACGAACGCUGGCGGCGUGCUUAACACAUGCAAGUCGAACGGAAAGGCCCUGCUUGCAGGGUACUCGAGUGGCGAACGGGUGAGUAACACGUGGGUGAUCUGCCCUGCACUUCGGGAUAAGCCUGGGAAACUGGGUCUAAUACCGGAUAGGAGCCAUUUUUAGUGUGAUGGUUGGAAAGUUUUUUCGGUGUAGGAUGAGCUCGCGGCCCAUCAGCUUGUUGGUGGGGUAAUGGCCUACCAAGGCGG